AGUGGACAGUCUGGUGGACAGUGUGGCAUCGUGGUCAGCAGAACUGCUCCCUCCUCCUUGCUGUUGUGGUCCGGUCCAAACCCCCGGCCCCAACAUUCCCUGGUUCCCAGCUCUGUGACAUCACAGACAGCCUUCUGUCCACUCUGCCGGCUGCAGUCUACACCUGUGCUGAAUGACCCCAUGUCCCUCUACUCACCCACCCACCAGCGCCAGAGGCCUUCCUGUUCUACCUCAUUGAUCUUUCUUCCUCUGAUCAAAGUGCAGUGGGGUCACUAGAGACCCAAGUUCACAGCCCACUGGGGACAACCCAAGGGCCCUCUUCUUUGGUUCCUGCUUCCCUCUAGAGGGCAUCACUGGUAGUGCAGGAAAUGCCACAAACUCCUCCAGGCAUCUCCCCUGCAUGUUCAUCAACAUCAGAAUCAUUUGUAUUUAUUAAGCCUUUGUGACACACCAGAAAGCUGUGCUAAGCACUUUCCAUCAUUAUUUAAUCCUCAGAACUGCCUUCUGUCGCAGAUACUAUUACUACCGUCCCCAUUUUACAGGUCAGAAAACGGAGAUUCAAAAAGGUCAUAAAUUCUUCUAAAUUUCCUAGCUAACAGAUCUCCAAGAAUUAGAUCCCAGAGAACAUACUUGUAACUUACACACUACUCUCCCUAAGAGCCUUUUUGUUUCUGAAGAGGGUUCGAAAGUUCAAAGCUCUUUGCUGUCAACACUCAGAGGAGAAAGUGGUUCUACUACCUACUUUCUUGCGAAAUUGUCUAGUAAAGACGUGGAGAGAGCAUCAGCGCGAGGUGCCAACAAACCUGUGUUUCAAAUCCCUGCUGAUAAUAUGAAUUCCACGGUAUAUUUUUAAUUGAAAAAAAUAAAGGAAACAGCCCAGCCCAGUGAAUUGGGCUCAAACUCAAGAUUGGCUGAUUCACCAAGGCAUCCCUGCAAACAAAGCUGGCAGAGUAGAGGUUUCCACUCCUUUCCAUGGGGACUGUCGGGAGCCCUGUGUCAUCCGAGACUCCAAGGUUCCCAGUCAACCCCAAGAGCACAAGCCAUCAACCCAAAAUUUGCAGCUUCAGAGGGACGAGCUUGACAGACAAAAUCCCAAGCGCAUUAACGCAGCCUCCCAUUUGCCUUUGAGACAACCCCUGAUCCAGCCGGAAAAGAGAGCUUCCUCCAGCAGCAGUGAGUUUGGGGAUCUAAAUUCAUAUGCUUCCCAAAGAAAUUUUUACAAGAGAAACUUAAACCGCUACAGCCAGGAGCACUGGCCGUUCCAGCCGUGUCUCAUUGGGAGGCCCUGAGCAUUCUAGCCGGCCGUACCCAUGCAGGUUCCUGACGCUACACAGCUGCUAGAGUGUCUCCAGGAGGAAGAGGGCGGUGGGCAGAAGUCAUGAAGACUGAUUCAGAAACUCCCCUGAAGGAGGAGAAGACGUCUGAGCCAUCCUUGUGCCACCAGCAAGAGUCACUCCAGCUCCUGAAAAAGCCACGAUGGGAAGAGCUGCCUCCAAUUAAAGUUUUUGGUCACAUCAGA